GAAAAGCAGGGGGCACAGAAAGCGGGGACAAGGUGGGGAGUGGAGGGACACCCAGGAGAAGUUGGGGCGGGAAGAGGCCAGGACCAGAGAUAGGAGCCGCGCCUUCCCACCCGAGCAGGUCCCCAAAGGGGGGCUCACUGGACCACCGAGCACCUCACCUGGUCUCUGCAACUCCAGCCGCACACCUGGCCGGUCCCCGGACAGGCCCCUCCCCAACAGGCCCCGCCCAAUGUCAGAGCGCACAGCCGGGAGUCCCCAGGGUGGGCGGGACCAGGGCUCAGGGGUCCCUUUCUGAGGAUUCUCACAUAGAACUCCACUCGAAGUGUUCCCAGUAGAUGAGGCAGCUCCACAAGCCAGCUGAAGGGAUCAUAGUCCUGGGGAACAGCUAAGACAGAGCAGCUGAGACACCACUCACCUCUAGAGGGUGUAGUGACUUCAGGGGACAAUCAACAGAAACCACCAUCUCCAGUUUCCGGAAAUAACUGGGUCUCAGCCAAUCAGCACAGGCCGCACGGAGGGCAGGCUCCUCCAGUGGAUCUGAUGGACCUUGCUGGAUGGGGAGGAAAAGAAAACAUGACUUGCUGCAUCUACCAUCCCCACCCUCGUGGGGGAAGCUUGGCUCACUGUGGGUGCUUAGUGAAAGUCGAAACCAUGCCCACUGACCUUUGCUGAACACACAGCUGAAACCCUGUGACAGAAGACAGCGUAACAAGCAGAUGUUGAUGAAGUCGGAGGCUUCUCUUUUUUUCUCCCCAAGCAGCUGAGUUCUAAGUUAAUGAGCAUGCCUGGGUGGAGCGCUAGAGACAGGAGAAAGACCCGGCCACCAGCAGAGGUCCUGGAUUUCCUGUUUGUGUUCUCCGCGGGCAGCUCAGCUCGCCUGGCCAGCUGCAGGAGCUGCAAUCUUCCAGGAAGCCUGCAUUUCCGUGCUGCUGACGCAGGGGGACAGGCAGGCAGAAAGGAAUCUGGGCGUCCCCCAGGCACUCCCUCCGCAGGCCAAGCCACUAACCCACCGAUUAAGCUCCUGCUUUCUGCUGGUAGCCCAGUACGGAGACAGGGUCAUGCUCCUGUUUCAGAACAGAGGCUGUUCUGACAUCACACAGAGGAAUCCUGGUGCUUUCUCCACUGUGUUCUGUGGGACACUGUGGCCCAGUGUGGAAAUCCUUUACAUUCCCAGCUGAGUGGCUCCUGCUCUGGAUAUCCUACUGACUAAAACAGUUAUUACCU